CUCUGGAUGUAGACAGGGGGCUGCUUCGUCGCACCCCCACAUGCAGGGGGAUGGUUAUAGCUACCCACAGUGAGCACCCCUGUAUUACCUGCUCCUCUACGUUUCAAGGGACCCCUGCCCACGACGUCCAGCCCCAGCGAGCAUCUCUUCUCUCCAGACGGUAGCCUAGGUCUACCUUUGUGCGUGCCAGGACGUGUCGGGAGCCCGUCCUCCUGUCCACCGGACCCGCCCUGGAUCUCAUGAUGGUGGAGAAGGGUAGUGACCCCCUGUGGGUAUUCAGGCAGCGCUUGUCUGACCCUGACAUAGGCAAGGGUGUGGCCGGGAGACUGAUCCGCUCUGGCUUUACUUGUGUGUGCGGGGUGUGGCAGACAGGGGCAGGCUAUUCAAGGCGUGAGGGGGAUACUGUGGACUACAGCAGUCAAAUGCACGAAAGACUGGAGAUUGAGGCCAGACUGGAUUUAUGUUCUUCAACUCCCUAAUCUGUCAUCCCCAGGCCUGGCAAGAAUAUUGGGAAAUAGCAUGGCUUUAGACAGGUCGAACCUUGACAGUCCAUUGAUAUAUUCACGACUACUCUGGGCAGUGCUCUGUAGCCUCAAAGGGCCAUCUUUAUUAUGAAGUCCCUGGACCCCGAGCCUGCUGUCCACUAGGUACCAACCCUGGACAUGACCCUGGGGAGACCAGGGUUCUAGCCUCUGCCCUCUCUCCCCUCUUCCUUGCCCUCCCCUCCCUUAUAUUGAAAAGUCUUUGUGAAACCCACAUGCUUUUCUUGGUAGACCAUGUAGACCUCAUCUUAGGCGAGCCCUAACCCCUGCCUCUAACUGUGGGCUCUCUAGGGGCCAGAACCUCACCCUUCUUUUCUGCCUACACACAUUUAGGCACACAUGGAAGGAAGCUGCUUGUCUCUCGCUUUUACUAGGAUGUGUGUUCACAUGUGUGCACAUGAGCUAUCUCUGUGAUGACAUGCUUACACACCCUGAGUUUUUACACAGACAGGUUACCUGCCAAAUCACCCGCCUCCCUGCGGAAUCCCAGGCAGGCUAGAAACCUAGGGAAGGGAAGGGGAGCCAGUCUUUCCCUCUGGAAAACCCGAAGCAGGUGAUGAAUGUGUGUUCCUGCCAUGUUCUAUGCAUGUGUGUGUUCCUGCCAUGUUCCAUGUAUGUGCGUGUUCCUGCCAUGUUCCAUGCAUGCACGUGUUCCUGCAAUGUUCCAUGCAUGCACGUGUUCCUGCAAUGUUCCAUGCAUGUGCAUGUUCCUGCCAUGUUCCAUGCAUGUACGUGUUCCUGCAAUGUUCCAUGCAUGCGCAUGUUCCUGCCAUGUUCCAUGUAUGCGCGUGUUCCUGCCAUGUUCCAUGCUGUGCUCCCUCCCCAUGCUCUUGGGCCCUGUUGUCAAGUGAGCAGCUGGGAAAGUGGAGAAACAAAUUUUCGAAUGGAGGCCAUGUGUCUUAAGAAUCAUGCAACCAGACACAGUGGUGCAAACUUGAAGUCCCAGCUACUCUGGAGGAUCAUGAGUUCAGAGCCAACCCAAGCAAUUUAAUAUGACCCCCCCAUCUCCAAAAACAUUAAAAGCUGGGGGUUGGGGGUAAGCUUACCAGUGCUGGGCCUGACUUAGAAUCGCUUCAGUGAGGGGCUGAAAUUGUGGUGAGAUCGCAGACUGAUUCCCCACAAUUCACGCCAGUGAGAAGUUGGGGUAUGACUCAGGGGUAGAACAUUUGCCUAAAAACCACUACUGAGGAUCUGGGAGCGUGCGGUACCAAGCUUACGAAAGGCUUUGGCUUCUAUCCCUAGCUCCUUUGAAAACAAAACAGAACAGAUAGGAUGUUAGUGUUACCUGCAGUGGCUGAUUGGAAUUCCAGUGGAAUUUGACGCUACUUUUUUUGGAGGGGGGGGGGAGUAAAGGAAACAAAUGUAUUUAAUUCACAGUUUUGGAGACUGGAAGUUCUAGUGAGGAAUCCUGGCUGCAUCACACUCUCAGGCGAGUGUGUGUGUGUGUGUGUGUGUGUGUGUGUGUGUGUGACUGGCUCAAGAUAGUGUGAUGGCUAAUCUUGGGUGUCAAGUUGAGGCACUUAGGAAAAGAGCUCUCAGUUGAGGAAUUAGCUCCAUCAGAUUGGCCUGUGGGCAUGUCUGCAUUUUCUUGAUUGCCAGUUGAUGUGGGAGGGCCCAGCCCACUAAGGGCGGUGCCACCCUUAGGCAGAUGAACCUGAACUGUGUAAAACAGAGUACCUGGACAAGACUGUGAGCAGCCUUCCUCCAUGGUUUCUACCUCCUGCCUCUAGCUUCCCUCUUGGCUGCUCUUGAUGACAGGCUGUAAGCUAUCGGCAAAAAUAAAUCCUUGCCUAAGA
ensembl:lincRNA